UACAUCAACUAACCCCUGUUUCCUGUUGUGGGGCAGCAACAGCACAUACCCAGCAAUUCUUCUCUCACUCUGUCAGGCUCAUCUCACCUUGAACAUUGAAGAAGAUACUUUCCUUCUAGUGGAAGAGCUGAAACAUGCUUCUCUCCAGCCUUCUGAAUGUGGUCGUGGCUUCACUGUGUUUAGGAUCCAGUAUUGCCCAGAAAGUAACUCAGGACCAACCACCAAUGUCAGUGCAGGAGAAAGAAACUGUGACCCUGGAUUGCACAUACGACACCAGUGUUACAACUUACAGUCUGUUCUGGUACAAGCAACACAGCAGUGGGGCGAUGGCCUUCCUCAUUUGCCAGGACUCUCAUAACAAGCAAAAUGCCACAGAAGGCCGCUACUCAUUGAAUUUCCAGAAGGCAAGCAGAUUCAUCAAACUUACCAUCUCAGCCUCACAGCUGGAGGACUCUGCAGUGUAUUUCUGUGCACUGAGGGAGCCCACAGUGAGAGGCGUGCAGGAGGGUCCUGCACCAAAACCCAGAGUUCUAAUGAUACACCCACCUGCGGUAGGACCAGGGUGGGGAACUGCCUUCACAGACAGGAGUGGUUAGGACUGCGGCAGCACAGGUGUAGGU